rnacentral:rRNA from 1 species
GAUGAACGCUGGCGGCGUGCCUAAUACAUGCAAGUCGAGCGAACACACGAGGAGCUUGCUCCUCUGACGUUAGCGGCGGACGGGUGAGUAACACGUGGAUAACCUACCUAUAAGACUGGGAUAACUUCGGGAAACCGGAGCUAAUACCGGAUAAUAUAUUGAACCGCAUGGUUCAAUAGUGAAAGACGGUUUUGCUGUCACUUAUAGAUGGAUCCGCGCCGCAUUAGCUAGUUGGUAAGGUAACGGCUUACCAAGGCAACGAUGCGUAGCCGACCUGAGAGGGUGAUCGGCCACACUGGAACUGAGACACGGUCCAGACUCCUACGGGAGGCAGCAGUAGGGAAUCUUCCGCAAUGGGCGAAAGCCUGACGGAGCAACGCCGCGUGAGUGAUGAAGGUCUUCGGAUCGUAAAACUCUGUUAUUAGGGAAGAACAAAUGUGUAAGUAACUAUGCACGUCUUGACGGUACCUAAUCAGAAAGCCACGGCUAACUACGUG